rnacentral:lncRNA from 1 species
CCCCUUCUACCUAAAUCCUCUUCCUCCCUCACUAAUCAUCCCAAACCCAUCUUCAAACUAUUAAAACAAAAAAACCUCCCCCUCCCCAACGGAAUAUCGACCCUCCUCUCUGCUGCCACCACCAAGACUCUGCCAACCACCAUUUUCUCCGCUCAUUCUUCUCUGGUAAUGCCCUGGUCUUGUUAUUUCCCUUGUUAAUUGUUUUCCUAGACUAGUUUUUCUAUUUUCUUUCUUUUAAUUUCAGAGUUUAGGUGUCACUUUGGUUAGAGUUGGGUGUUAGUUGUAAGUGAAUCAUUUGGGUGGUAUAGGUUGAGAAGUUAGUCCAUGAUAAGUGUGGGGUGAAACCUGUUGAUUGGUAAGAUUGGGGAGUGGAUUUGGGGGACGCUUAUUCCAAAUAACCUUGAAA